rnacentral:rRNA from 1 species
UGCGUAGGCGGUUGAUUAAGUAGGGUGUGAAAGCUCUCGGCCCAACCGAGGAAUUGCGCUCUAAACUGAUCAACUUGAGUGAGAUAGGGGUGUGCGGAACUUCCAGUGGAGCGGUGAAAUGUGUUGAUAUUGGAAGGAACGCCGGUGGCGAAAGCGGCACACUGGGUCUCAACUGACGCUGAGGCACGAAAGCCAGGGUAGCGAACG